CAAACCAAGUAACUUCGUACCCAUCUAGCUAUGCUGAUGGACAGAUGCAGUGCAUCCCAUCUAGAGAUUCUUGGAUUUACAGAAAAUUACGCUGUGGCUCUUUGGCUGUUUUUGAGUACAGCAGCAAGGAAAUAAUCUGGACACAAACUUGAACUGCUGAGCAGAUUAAAGGCAAACAAAGGGACAGUGAUGAAAACAGCAAAAAAAAAUGCUGUGGGUCUGAAUGUUACCAGAAUUUAGCCAAUGUAGCAACCCCGAGUGGAAAAGAAGGAAAGCUGAAGCUUUGGAAAAUUUCCUGAAGGACACUUAAUUAUAAUUCCUACUUUGAUUUCUCUGUAAAGUUUCGGAAUGCUUCUGGAUGACUACAGUGACAAUUCCCUGAUCCGCUG